CCUACGGGUGGCAGCAGUGGGGAAUAUUGGACAAUGGGGGGAACCCUGAUCCAGCCAUGCCGCGUGUGUGAAGAAGGCCCUCGGGUUGUAAAGCACUUUCAGUGAGGAAGAACGCCUGGUGGUUAAUACCCAUCAGGAAAGACAUCACUCACAGAAGAAGCACCGGCUAACUCCGUGCCAGCAGCCGCGGUAAUACGGAGGGUGCGAGCGUUAAUCGGAAUUACUGGGCGUAAAGCGCGCGUAGGUGACUUGAUAAGCCGGUUGUGAAAGCCCCGGGCUCAACCUGGGAACGGCAUCCGGAACUGUCAAGCUAGAGUGCAGGAGAGGAAGGUAGAAUUCCCGGUGUAGCGGUGAAAUGCGUAGAGAUCGGGAGGAAUACCAGUGGCGAAGGCGGCCUUCUGCACUGACACUGACACUGAGGUGCGAAAGCGUGGGUAGCAAACAGGAUUAGAUACCCCUGUAGUC
rnacentral:rRNA from 1 species